GUGGGGAAUAUUGGACAAUGGGCGAAAGCCUGAUCCAGCCAUGCCGCGUGUGUGAAGAAGGUCUUCGGAUUGUAAAGCACUUUAAGUUGGGAGGAAGGGCAGUAAGUUAAUACCUUGCUGUUUUGACGUUACCGACAGAAUAAGCACCGGCUAACUUCGUGCCAGCAGCCGCGGUAAUACGAAGGGUGCAAGCGUUAAUCGGAAUUACUGGGCGUAAAGCGCGCGUAGGUGGUUUUGUAAGUUGGAGGUGAAAUCCCCGGGCUCAACCUGGGAACUGCAUCCAAAACUGCAUGACUAGAGUACGGUAGAGGGUAGUGGAAUUUCAUGUGUAGCGGUGAAAUGCGUAGAUAUAGGAAGGAACACCAGUGGCGAAGGCGACUACCUGGACUGAUACUGACACUGAGGUGCGAAAGCGUGGGGAGCAAACAGGAUUAGAUACCCGGGUAGUCC
rnacentral:rRNA from 1 species